CUGCCAUCUUAUUUGGAAGCUGAAUACUUCAAACAAAUGCAAAAUGAAGAUACUCGCACUGGGGUAAUUUCUUAACUAUAAAUAUUGGCAUAGCAACCUCGUCAAUGCAUUAGAUAGUACAGUUCCAGACUGUAAGUUUCAAACCAUCAGUUGCAAAAUGAAAUCCCUCGUUAUCUUGGUUAUCAUGGCGGCGGUAGUCCUCGCAGAUGUUUCGCACCUCACAUCAACUUCAACAGAACAUUCUCUGAAUCCAGAGGAUCAACAGACUUCCGAUGGGUCAGGAGCAGCACCCGAAAUCAAUUCUUCCACGAGCCGGGAAUAUUUACCACCCCCGGGAGUAACAACUGAGCCUAUUCCUGCACAUACUUUUGGCGCUGAUGGGUACAAAUACAAAGAGCCACAAAAAAAAAAUUUUUCUUUUAAAUGAAUCUUUCGAAAUAAUUGUACGAAUAACUACACCGAACCAUUUCAAAUAAAAUCAUCAAAUUAAAAGUUGA